CCUACGGGGGGCUGCAGUGGGGAAUAUUGGACAAUGGGGGGAACCCUGAUCCAGCCAUGCCGCGUGUGUGAAGAAGGCCCUCGGGUUGUAAAGCACUUUCAGUGAGGAAGAACGCCUGGUGGUUAAUACCCAUCAGGAAAGACAUCACUCACAGAAGAAGCACCGGCUAACUCCGUGCCAGCAGCCGCGGUAAUACGGAGGGUGCGAGCGUUAAUCGGAAUUACUGGGCGUAAAGCGCGCGUAGGUGGCUUGAUAAGCCGGUUGUGAAAGCCCCGGGCUCAACCUGGGAACGGCAUCCGGAACUGUUAAGCUAGAGUGCAGGAGAGGAAGGUAGAAUUCCCGGUGUAGCGGUGAAAUGCGUAGAGAUCGGGAGGAAUACCAGUGGCGAAGGCGGCCUUCUGGACUGACACUGACACUGAGGUGCGAAAGCGUGGGUAGCAAACAGGAUUAGAUACCCUGGUAGUC
rnacentral:rRNA from 1 species